GGAAGGAGAGAAAAUGUAAGGAAUAGGGAAGAAAAAGGAGGAGGAAGAAGAAGAAGAAGAGGAGGAGGAGGAGGAGGAGAAAAACUGACGUGAUGAAGAGAGGAAAACUGUAGGUCAUUGAAGGUCAGAGAGAGAGAGAGAGAGAGAGAGAGAGAGAGAGAGAGAGAGAGAGAGAGAGAGAGAGAGAGAGAGAGAGAGAACUAGACAAACAUAUAUGAACAGACUGACAGUGUAUACGCAACAACAGACAGAGAGAAACAGAAAUUAACAGACAGACAGACGCUAACAGAGAGAGACAGACAGACAGACAGACAGGCAGAAUGCAAGCAGGGUAUUUAGGCGAAGCAGGCCAAGACAAGGAAAGGAAAGUUAGCAGGCAGGCAGGCAGGGAGGCAAGCAGUGAGAGGAAGGUUAGCAGGCAGAUAGGAAAACUAGCAGAAGGAGGUUAGCAGGCAGAUAGGAAAACUAGCAGAAGGAGGUUAGCAGGCAGAUAGGAAAACUAGCAGAAGGAGGUUAGCAGGCAGAUAGGAAAACUAGCAGAGGUAGGUUAGCAGGCAGAUAGGAUAGCUAGUAGAGGAAGGUUAGCAGGCAGAUAGGAUAGCUAGCAGAGGAAGGUUAGCAGGCAGAUAGGAUAGCUAGUAGAGGAAGGUUAGCAGGCAGAUAGGAUAGCUAGCAGAGGAAGGUUAGCAGGCAGAUAGGAUAGCUAGCAGAAGGAGGUUAGCAGGCAGAUAGGAAAGCUAGCAGAGGUAGGUUAGCAAGCAGGCACUCAGGUAUUUGCGUGCCUGGAGGAAGCAGCGGCCGGAGGUGGCACCGCUUGGCACUCGAUCAACGCGGAAGGGAGGCAAAACAAUCCGCUGACCGAGUAUAUUGAGCCGUGUGUGUGUGUGUGUGUGUGUGUGUGUGUGUGUGAGUGUGUGUGUGUGUGUGUGUGUGUUAUCGUCAUCUAUGUAUCGAUGUUUUUUUUUUCCUUAUCUGUAUCUCUCUUAUAUGUGUUAGUAUGUUGUUGUUGUUGUUGUUGUGUCCGUGAGUGAGGUAUAAUGAUUUGAGAUAUAGAGAUAGAGAGAUUGAGAGACGGCAUUAGAGUAGUGACUUUCUAUAUUGCUUUCCUCUAAUUCAUACCCUUCAAAGCACAGCGCCGUCGUGUGUGAGUGUUAAAUUGGGUUGUAUGAAUGUGAAAAAUAAACCUUGUAUUGAUAAGUUCCAGCGUUCUCGAGGUUAGUAAGAAAGGUUGUAUUGAGUCGGUCAUUAAUAUCGCUAUCACGUGUCUUCCGCGGAUAGUUAAGAAUGCUGUGUCAUAUCUCUUUUAUCUCUGUGUUAAGAAGCUGUGUUAUCUUUGCCAUCGUCAUCAUUUGCGCCCUCAUCAUCAUUGCCAUCGUCACAUCAUCACCAGUCAUCCUCGUCAUCGCCAUAUCUUGCCACCCGGAGAUAGAAAUGAAACCAAUAUCUCUUUUUAUCUCUGUGUUAAGAAGCUGUGUUAUCUUUGUCAGCAUCGUCACUAGCGCCCUC